AAAGAUAUAGUAUAAUAUAAUACAUUUCACUUACACUGAAAAUAUACUUAGAUUUAUAAGUUGUCUUUA
rnacentral:tRNA from 1 species